UCCUAAAAAGAGUUAGAGGAGUGGCCGAAAGAUAGGUCAAUUUCGGGAGAGGUGUCCUGAUACCCUCCUUGCUUUGGUAUUCUGAGGUCGAACGCUAAUGUAUUGCGAACUAUAAUCAUUCUUUCCUUUACUUGUUUUGGUUCUUUUGAUUCAUCUAUAACCGGUUUUCUUGAUCAUGGUCGCACUGGGUCGCCUGGGAUCGAUUUUCGAGCGUAUGACUUUAAUCGCUAACCAGUCUUCGUAGAGGUAAUUAAUUUCCCCCACAGAUUUCAGAUCCGCAUUGUUUUCACCGACUACAUCUGUCUUUUAUCCAACUUUUUUUUCGGCCACUUUGUUUUUCUAUAUUAAACUCUACCUGUCUUUUAUUCACUCACUUUCUUUAUCAGCCACUUUUUCUUUUCUAUACCGUUUCCUCCCUACCCUUCAUCCAGUUACCGUUUCCUCCCUACCCUUCAUCCAGUUGCCGUUUCCUCCCUACCCUUCAUCCAGUUGCCGUUUCCUCCCUACCCUUCAUCCAGUUACCGUUUCCUCCCUACCCUUCAUCCAGGUACCGUUUCCUCCCUACCCUUCAUCCAGUUACCGUUUCCUCCCUACCCUUCAUCCAGGUACCGUUUCCUCCCUACCCUUCAUCCAGUUACCGUUUCCUCCCUACCCUUCAUCCAGUUACCGUUUCCUCCCUACCCUUCAUCCAGGUACCGUUUCCUCCCUACCCUUCAUCCAGUUACAGUUUCCUCCCUACCCUUCAUCCAGUUAGUUUCCUCCCUACCCUUCAUCCAGUUACAGUUUCCUCCCUACCCUUCAUCCAGUUACAGUUUCCUCCCUACCCUUCAUCCAGUUACAGUUUCCGCCCUACCCUUCAUCCAGUUACAGUUUCCGCCCUACCCUUCAUCCAGUUACAGUUUCCUCCCUACCCUUCAUCCAGUUACAGUUUCCUCCCUACCCUUCAUCCAGUUACAGUUUCCUCCCUACCCUUCAUCCAGUUACAGUUUCCUCCCUACCCUUCAUCCAGUUACAGUUUCCGCCCUACCCUUCAUCCAGUUACAGUUUCCGCCCUACC